rnacentral:rRNA from 1 species
UAAAGAUUUUAAGGGCGUACGGUGGAUGCCUUGGCGAUAUCAGCCGAAGAAGGACGCGGUAAGCUGCGAUAAGCUACGGAGAGGUGCAAGCAACCUUUGACCCGUAGAUUUCCGAAUGGGGGAACCCGGCAGUGGUUAUGCACUGUCACCCAUAGCUUAGACUAUGAGGAGGGCACCUGGGGAACUGAAACAUCUAAUUACCCAGAGGAAAAGUAAUCAAACGAGAUUUUCUUAGUAGCGGCGAGCGAACGGGAAAGAGGCCAAACCGGAGCGGGCAACCGCACCGGGGUUGAGGACAGUCAUCAAGUGUAAAUGAGGUAGAAGAAUCGAGUUGGAAAGCUCAGCCGAAGAAGGUGAAAGCCCUGUAAUCGAAACCUUGCAUACACGGGACUGUAUCCAGAGUACCACGAGACACGUGAAACCUUGUGGGAAGCAGGGGGGACCACCCUCCAAGCCAAAAUACUGAUAUCGACCGAUAGCGCAUAGUACCGUGAGGGAAAGGUGAAAAGAACCCCUGGCGGGGAGUGAAAGAGAACCUGAAACCGUAUGUCUACAAACAGUCGAAGUCUGUAUAUAUAUCAGGACGACGGCGUGCCUAUUGAAGAAUGAACCGACGAGUUACUGUUGCUAGCGAGGUUAAGUGGAAAACACGGAGCCGCAGCGAAAGCGAGUCUGAACAGGGCGUUCAGUUAGUAAUAGUAGACCCGAAACCGUAGUGAUCUAUCCAUGGCCAGGUUGAAGCACAGGUAAAAUUGUGUGGAGGACCGAACUCGUGAGCGUUGAAAAGCUUUGGGAUGAGUUGUGGAUAGGGGUGAAAUGCCAAUCGAACACGGAGAUAGCUGGUUCUCCCCGAAAUAGCUUUAGGGCUAGCCUCGAGGUUGAGAGUAUAGGCGGUAGAGCACUGAUCGGGCUAGGGGCCAUACCGGUUACCGAACCUAGUCAAACUACGAAUGGCUAUACUUAUACUCGGGAGUCAGACAGUGAAUGAUAAGGUCCAUUGUCAAGAGGGAAACAGCCCAGAACACCGACUAAGGUCCCAAAUGUUACACUAAGUGGCGAAGGAUGUGGAAUUUCCAAAACAACCAGGAUGUUGGCUUAGAAGCAGCCACCAUUUAAAGAGUGCGUAAUAGCUCACUGGUCGAGAGACUCUGCGCCGAAAAUGUCCGGGGCUAAAGUGUAAAACCGAAGUCGUGUCAUAUGCAGCAAUGUAUAUGGGUAGGGGAGCGUUCUCAUUGGGUUGAAGCAGUACCGUAAGGAGUUGUGGACUGAUGAGAAGUGAGAAUGUCGGUAUGAGUAGCGAAAAGAAUGGUGAGAAUCCAUUCCACCGAAAGCCUAAGGGUUCCUGAGCAACGAUCGUCGUCUCAGGGUAAGUCGGGACCUAAGCCGAGGCGGAAAAGCGUAGGCGAUGGACAACAGGUUGAAAUUCCUGUACCGGUGUGAAUCGUUUGAUCGAUGGAGUGACACAGUAAGGUAGGUCAGCACGCGAUUGGAAGUGCGUGUUUAAGCAUGUAGGUUGAGCUAUAGGCAAAUCCGUAGCUCUAAAAGCUGAGAUGUGAUGACGAGUUACUAGCGAUAGUAACGAAGUGAUUGAUCCUACACUGUCGAGAAAAGCUUCUAGGUAGAGACACAUCGCCCGUACCAAAACCGACACAGGUAGGCGGGGAGAGAAUCCUAAGGUGCGCGGGAAAACCCUCGUUAAGGAACUCGGCAAAAUGCCUCCGUAACUUCGGGAAAAGGAGGACUCAUGUAGUGUGAAGAGCAGCAACGCUUGGAGCAUGAAUGAGUGGCACAAGAGAGGCGCAAGCGACUGUUUACCACAAACACAGGUGCCUGCUAAAGCGAAAGCUGAUGUAUAGGUGCUGACACCUGCCCGGUGCUGGAAGGUUAAGAGGAGGGGUUAGACUUCGGUCGAAGCUCUGAAUUGAAGCCCCAGUAAACGGCGGCCGUAACUAUAACGGUCCUAAGGUAGCGAAAUUCCUUGUCGGGU